rnacentral:lncRNA from 1 species
GCUCUUCCGAUCUGGGUAGUCAUUCCAUUUUCUUUUUUCUUUUCUUUGAAUCGCAUAAAUUCUUAUAGAAAUAAUGGCAGAUUUUUUUUUUUGGAAUAUUACGGGGUGGAAAACUGUAAAGGAUCCUAUUUACUGUUUUUCUUUCUUUCCCGUUCUAGAAAUAGAAGGGCACACGGGGAAUAAAACUGAUACGAUGUUUUUCUCUUCGGAUACUAACUCUCGGGACAGAACAAGGAAAUAUUCAACAUCUAACUUUCAGAAUGAAUGGCUGAACGACUUUCCUAUCAACGACUUUUCUACUUUUAGCCCGGCCAAAGGCGCAUUUUGGAAACUUUGAACAUUCCCGAACUCUCAUUCUACCAUGGUAUUAGAUUAGUAUUAUCAUAGAAAUUCGUUUUUGUAUAAGAAAAGAAAAAAAAAAAAAAAACUUGCAAGAAAAACUAACACUUAGAAACUUUCGAAGGAGAAUCGAC